AGCUGACCAUGGAGAAGGGUGCUGGUAAUUUGAUAGGGCUAUUUCAGCCAAUCUACAGAUGCUAUCUGUAACUCUCUGGAAUUCCAUGUUGUUAUAACUUCGCGCUCUGAUUAGAAGUUCUGUGAGAAAUUGAAAGCUUCAGACAUUUUAGUACGAGUAGUAGCCUGGCUCCCUGGCUGCAUGGUUAUUUUUUAUAUAAAUACUGCAGACAAAAUAAGAAAAUCUUAAGCCUCUAAAAUAGCGCAAUUGUAUCUGAUGGCUGAACCAUACCUACGUUUGAAGUCAGGGGCAAUAAAAAUGUCAAUGUAGAAACAACCUGCUGGAGUCACUUCAACAUAUUUAUGUAAAUAAGAACAAACAUAGGGACGGGAGCCAGUCUAUAGGAGUAGCUACAUUUUAGCCGUCCUGGGAUAAAGUGAGCUCUAACCGGUCAUAAAUCAUGUCAAUUAAAGAGUAUUUAUGUACACAAACCUGGAAAAGACGGCAAGGUUGACUAUAGCGUUGCUUCUUUGGUCAAUAUCGUGAAAUUUACAGGCUGCUUCCGGCGAUGAUUUAGGAUCAAAGUUACACACUUAUAUACUAGAUUAAUGGAAAUAAGUAACGCGCACUCAAACUUCAACGUAAUAGUGUGAAAAUGAAAUAAUUUGGAUACAAGGUGAGGCAUAAAAAUGUUAAAAAUUCAUGUAAUUUUUCUAAAAUAUUUUGAGUUUGAAAUGCUAUUGUAUUACACUAAAAUUCGUUUUAUUUUGUGUCGUGCAACUGUGAAUUAACGUCAUUCAAAUCUGGUUAGUAUAAAAGCAAAUCAACUUAAUUUUUGUUGAACAGGUAUUAGGACAUAUUUAUUUAUUCAGUAUUCUAGAAUUUCCCAGUAAUGUAAGUCCAUUGUACCACUUAUAAUUAAUACAUGUAUUUUGUAGAGAAGUUGACGAUACUGUAUAUUAUGUUGUCUAGGUUUUCAAAAUCAGAAACGAAGCAAGAAGAACUUUUCUGAGGCUUAAGUGUUGGAGUUCAGUUGUGAUUGUCAUGCCCUAGGAUAUGCUAAUGGAUUGAUGGAGAAGAACGUCUGGAUUCAGAUACAGAAAGUUUCAUGGCAGACAUGUACUCAUUUAAAGCAAGUGAAAACCUUGAAAAGUACGAACAACUAAACCAAGAAUUAGGAUACACAUCAUGGGAUAUUGACGUCAGUGGAAACAAAAUGUUUGUACUAGUUGAUCGCAGGAAUAUUAAUGACAAAGUUAAAAGGUAUGGAUAUAACGAUAGA
rnacentral:lncRNA from 1 species